CACAGCAACCUAUGGUGAAUGCGGAGGUUAGAGUUAACAACAUGGUUGAAGCAAGAGCAGUAGGUGAAGGAAAGUUUUGGAUGAAUGACAAUCGAACGAGUUCUUUGGCCACAGAAGGGAAAUAUUAAGCGGUAGGAAAACUCCGUCAUCAUCUCUGCAGGAUCUUAUUGUGGAGGUGUUGCCAGUGGAGAGACCUGUUCGGGUUAGCUGAUCGGCAUCAGGUCUUGUUACCAAACCGAAAGAUCAAUCGGCAGAAGAACCUGCGAUGGUUAUGUGGCGGCAGCGAUGGAAACAAGCACCUUUGUGCGGCAUCUUCAUCAUGGCAGGGCGAUCAAGUGGGAAUUGGGCCGCGUGUGCUGGAGUUUUAGUUCUGGUAAGAAUCUUUGGGCCUAGCCCAAGACCAAAAAAACAAAAAAUGUGAGUCUAAAAAGUUGCAGGCACCGGUAAACAAUAAUAAAAACCCUAACCUCAAUUCAACACAAUCAGAAUCAGAAUCGUCGACCCCUUCUUUGCUAUCAUACGUUUCGGUGUUCAUCGUUUACAGUGGCUAAGAGUUAUGGCUUCCAACGGAUCUGAAACACCUUCAGCUAAGGUGGAUGAAUGAUGACGGCGAUUACCCUUCAAGUGUGCACUGAGAAGGGAUUUCUGAAGGCUACAUACACUCACGAUGAAAAAAAUGCUAUUGUUGGACUGUAUGGGAUAACUGAUUCAUACGCGAAACUGAUAUCGUUCUACUCGUGCAACGACAAUUCAGUUUGCAUGUAUGAGUUGCGAACGUGGGUGACCAUCAAGCUUGCAUCUAGUUGUCUUGCUAACUUUGUUGUAAUGUUUUUAGAGAGAGCUCACAUGUUUUCACGAACUCUUCUUUAAUGAAGAUGGAACUAAUUUGCUGAAUGCGUGGAAAUGGUUGGAAGAGCAUAAGGUGCCUUCCUCCUAAGCUACAAGUUCUUUUGAGGAGGGGACUACAACAUAUGCUUAUAUAAUAAUAAAGGUACAACAUUGUUGUCUUAAUAAACAGUGUUUAAAUAACCCUCAUUCAUAAUGCGAAUUUCAUAUCACUUAAUUUUUCUAUGUAUAGUAAUAACUCUACAUGUACAAUAUUGAACCCUGCGCAUUAUUGCAAAGCUACCUCAUUUACAUGA